CUGUAAAUUUCAAAUAGGGUAGGGGUAAAACGCGGAGACAGAACGGAACCGGAAAAACGGAAACGGAAAUGAGGGUAAAACGCGGAAAAGAGGGUAAAACGCGGAAAAGGGGGUAAAACGCGGAAAAGGGGGUAAAAUGCGGAAAAGAGGGUAAAACGCGGAAAAGAGGGUAAAACGCGGAAAAGAGGGUAAAACGCGGAAAAGAGGGUAAAACGCAGAAAACAAACUUUGAAACUUAGCAUGACAAAAUUACUGGAUGUUGAUUGGUUGACUGGAGUACAAUUAUUUCAUUAAUUGUACUGCAGUACAAUUAAUGAUUUUCCCAAAACAAAAUGGCGGAAAGGCAUUUUAAACACAAAUGUGAAAUCAAAUUGCCGUGGAGGAACUAGAUGAAAAUACGAGCAAAAGCACCAAAUUUUGCUUGAACAAAAUAACUAAAUGAAAAUACAAACAAAAACACCAAAUUUUGGUUGAAAGUCUGACAGGACUGAGCUUUGGCGAGAGAAUAUG